rnacentral:rRNA from 1 species
AUGACCAGCAGUAGCACGCUCACUGUUACCAAAUCGCCGCCGGCGCUCAUCCCGCCGGCGGGGCCCACUCCCCGCGGCACACUCUCGCUCUCCUCCAUCGACAAGACCGUCGCCGGCUCCGGCUUCGUGUGCCUUAUCCAGGUGUUUUCCCCUCCCUCGCUCUCCGCCGCCCGCAGAGACCUGGGCGCCGCCGCGGCCGUGGCCGCAAUGCGUGAUGGAUUCGCGAGGGCGCUUGUACCGUACUACCCAGUGGCCGGACGAAUCGCCCCAAGCGGCCUCGCGGUGGAUUGCACCGGCGAGGGCAUCUGGUUCGUGGAGGCCGCCGCGAGCUGCGUGCUCGCCGACGUGGACGGCCUCGAGUGCUGCCCGCUUCCCAUCCCACAGCAGCUCCUCCUCCCGCGCCCUCCCCCCGGCGAGAAGCUCGACGGCCUCAUCUUCAUGGUCCAGGCGACGAGGUUCACCUGCGGUGGCUUCGCCGUCGGGAUCAUCUUCAGGCACGCGGUGUUCGACGGGCAGGGGGCGGCGCAGUUUCUGACGGCGGUCGGGGAGCUAGCGCGGGGGCUCAAGGCACCGUCGGUAGCUCCGGUAUGGGACCGCGACACGAUCCCAGACGCCCCGAGCCCGCUGCCGGGGCAGGUCACGGAGUUCAGGCUCGUGACCCAGGUGGCCGACAUCUCGGCGGAGAGUAUCGCGCGCGUCAAGGACGAGUUCAAGCAAGCUUCCGCGGCAUCGACGGGGGAGGUUUGCUCCACCUUCGACGCGGUGACGGCCAUCGUGUUCAAGUGCCGCACGCUGGCGCUGGCGUCGGCGCUCCCAGACGACGACGCCGAGGUCCGGGUGGCCUUCGCUGUCAGCACCCGUCGCCUUCUCCGCGGCGUGCUGCCGAUACCGACGGUGGAGGGAUACUACGGCAACUGCGUAUUCCUGGCGUGCGUCGCUAGGACGGGCAAGGCCGUCCGGGAGGCGGCGCUGGCGGAGGUGGUCGGCGCGGUACGGGAGGCGAAGGAGGCGGUCCCCGCUCGGUUCGCGGGCUGGAUGCGCGGCGUCGAGCAGUACGACGUGCCGCCGCUGGACUACAGCACGGUGACGUUGUCGGACUGGAGCCGUCUCGGCUUCGACGAGGUGGACUACGGCUUCGGCGCGCCCGGAUACGUGUGCCCGCUCAACGACCACAACAACUUCAUCGUGCAGCUCCACUACGUCAGGCCGCCACCGCCCAGGCGUGGAGGCGUCCGGGUGGUCCUCCGCUGCGUCGAGGAGCCUCAUGCGGCCGCUUUCGCCGUCGAGCUCGCCAAGUUCGCCUAG